GUUGUGCCGUUGAAACUGAUGUGCUUGAGUGUAGAUGAGGUAGGCGGAAUGAGUAGUGUAGCGGUGAAAUGCAUAGAUAUUACUCAGAACACCGAUUGCGAAGGCAGCUUACUAAACUACAACUGACGCUGAGGCACGAAAGCGUGGGUAUCAAACAGGAUUAGAUACCCUGGUAGUCCGCGCCGUAAACGAUGAAUGCUCGCCGUUAUUCCGCUCAAGGAAUAGUGGCUAAGCUAACGCGUUAAGCAUUCCGCCUGGGGAGUACGAUCGCAAGGUUGAAACUCAAAGGAAUUGACGGGGGCCCGCACAAGCGGUGGAGCAUGUGGCUCAAUUCGAUGCAACGCGAAGAACCUUACCUAGGCUCGAACGCUAGGGGACCGAUCCUGAAAGGG
rnacentral:rRNA from 1 species